rnacentral:rRNA from 1 species
UACGAGUGGUGCAAGCGUUAUUCGGAUUUAUUGGGCGUAAAGGGUGUGUAGGCAGUAUAUCAAGUCUGUUGUUAAAUAUCUCGGCCUAACCGAGAAGAUGCGGUGGAAACUGAUGUACUAGAGGAUGGAAGAGAGAAGUGGAAUUCUCGGAGUAGCGGUAAAAUGCGUAGAUAUCGAGAGGAACACCAAUGGCGAAGGCAGCUUCUUGGUCCAAUCCUGACGCUGAGACACGAAAGCGUGGGGAGCAAACAGGG